CUUGGUCAUUUAGAGGNAGUAAAAGUCGUAACAAGGUUUCCGUAGGUGAACCUGCGGAAGGAUCAUUAUUGAAAUAAACCUGAUGGGUUGUUGCUGGUUCUCUAGAGAGCAUGUGCACGCCUUGUCAUCUUUAUAUCUCCACCUGUGCACCUUUUGUAGGCCUUCCAGGUCUAUGUUGCUUUUUCAUUUACCCCAAUGUAUGUUAAUAGAAUGUUGUGCAUAUAAAAAUCUAUACAACUUUCAGCAACGGAUCUCUUGGCUCUCGCAUCGAUGAAGAACGCAGCGAAAUGCGAUAAGUAAUGUGAAUUGCAGAAUUCAGUGAAUCAUCGAAUCUUUGAACGCACCUUGCGCUCCUUGGUAUUCCGAGGAGCAUGCCUGUUUGAGUGUCAUUAAUAUAUAUCAAUCUUCUCAUUUAUGAGUGGUUUGGAUGUGGGGGUUUGCUGGCCUCUUAAAUGGGUUCAGCUCCUCUGAAAUGCAUUAGCAGAACAACCUUGUUCAUUGGCGUGAUAACUAUCUACGCUAUUGAAUGUGAGGGAUGGUUCAGCUUUCUAACAGUCCUUGGACAACUUAUCAUUUAUGUGACCUCAAAUCAGGUAGGACUACCCGCUGAACUUAAGCAUAUCAAUAAGCGGANGA
rnacentral:rRNA from 1 species